UGGGGAAUUUUGGACAAUGGGCGAAAGCCUGAUUCAGCAAUGCCGCGUGUGUGAAGAAGGCCUUCGGGUUGUAAAGCACUUUUGUCCGGAAAGAAAUCCUUGGCUCUAAUACAGUCGGGGGAUGACGGUACCGGAAGAAUAAGCACCGGCUAACUACGUGCCAGCAGCCGCGGUAAUACGUAGGGUGCAAGCGUUAAUCGGAAUUACUGGGCGUAAAGCGUGCGCAGGCGGUUUGCUAAGACCGAUGUGAAAUCCCCGGGCUCAACCUGGGAACUGCAUUGGUGACUGGCAGGCUAGAGUAUGGCAGAGGGGGGUAGAAUUCCACGUGUAGCAGUGAAAUGCGUAGAGAUGUGGAGGAAUACCGAUGGCGAAGGCAGCCCCCUGGGCCAAUACUGACGCUCAUGCACGAAAGCGUGGGGAGCAAACAGGAUUAGAUACCCUGGUAGUCCACGCCCUAAACGAUGUCAACUAGUUGUUGGGGAUUCAUUUCCUUAGUAACGUAGCUAACGCGUGAAGUUGACCGCCUGGGGAGUACGGUCGCAAGAUUAAAACUCAAAGGAAUUGACGGGGUCAUAGCUGUUUCCU
rnacentral:rRNA from 1 species